GAUGAACGCUGGCGGCGUGCCUAAUACAUGCAAGUCGAGCGAACGGACGCGAAGCUUGCUUCUCUGAUGUUAGCGGCGGACGGGUGAGUAACACGUGGAUACCCUACCUAUAAGACUGGGAUAACUUCGGGAAACCGGCGCUAAUACCGGAUAAUAUCUUGAACCGCAUGGUUCAAUAGUGAAAGACGGUCUUGCUGUCACUUAUAGAUGGAUCCGCGCUGCAUUAGCUAGUUGGUAAGGUAACGGCUUACCAAGGCAACUAUGCAUAGCCGACCUGAGAGGGGGAUCGGCCACACUGGAACUGAGACACGGACCAGAGUACUACGGGAGGCAGCAGUAGGGAAUCUUCGGCAAUGGGCGGAAGCCUGACGGAGCAAGCGCGCGUGAGUGAUGAAGGUCUUCGGAGCGUAAAACCCUGUUAUUAGGGAAGAACAUAUGUGGAAGUAACUGUGCACAGCUUGACGGUACCGAAUCAGAAAGCCACGGCUAACUACGUG
rnacentral:rRNA from 1 species